rnacentral:rRNA from 1 species
AGCAGCCGCGGUAAUUCCAGCUCCAAUAGCGUAUAUUAAAGUUGUUGCAGUUAAAAAGCUCGUAGUUGAAUUUCGGGGUUAGUAGGUUGGUCAUGCCUCUGGUAUGUACUGGUCUCACUGAUUCCUCCUUCCUGAUGAGCCGUAAUGCCAUUAAUUUGGUGUUGCGGGGAAUUUGGACUGUUACUUUGAAAAAAUUAGAGUGUUUAAAGCAAGCUAACGCUUGAAUACAUUAGCAUGGAAUAAUGAAAUAGGACGUUCGAUCCUAUUUUGUUGGUUUCUAGGAUUGACGUAAUGAUUAAUAGGGAUAGUUGGGGGCAUUAGUAUUCAAUUGUCAGAGGUGAAAUUCUUGGAUUUAUUGAAGACUAACUACUGCGAAAGCAUUUGCCAAGGAUGUUUUCAUUAAUCAAGAACGAAAGUUAGGGGAUCGAAGACGAUCAGAUACCGUCGUAGUCUUAACCAUAAACUAUGCCGA